rnacentral:rRNA from 1 species
UACAGGGGGUGCAAACGUUGUUCGGAAUUACUGGGCGUAAAGCGCACGUAGGCGGCUUUGCAAGUCAGAGGUGAAAGCCCGGGGCUCAACCCCGGAAUUGCCUUUGAGACUGCAUCGCUAGAAUUGUGGAGAGGUAAGUGGAAUUCCGAGUGUAGAGGUGAAAUUCGUAGAUAUUCGGAAGAACACCAGUGGCGAAGGCGACUUACUGGACACAUAUUGACGCUGAGGUGCGAAAGCGUGGGGAGCGAACAGG